rnacentral:lncRNA from 1 species
UUUGUGCUUGUGCACAAAGGCAGGGCGAAAGGUCUAACCUAUAUGCAACACGCACAGCGACCCGAAAUUUCAGUAACAAUUUUGAGCGUGCUUAAUUGUCGUGCUUGCUGGGGGAAAGACCCGAGGAGAAACUCUUCUAAUUGCUCGAUUGGGAAGUUGAACGAACCUUAAAGGUGACAAUAAGAAUUAGAAUGAAGUAUGGUCCUAUGUCAACCCAACACCGUUAACAUCGGCGGCAACAUUCUUGCAGGUCCAAAGAGUCGGCGUUCACCCCGAAGACGUACACCCAAGCAAUAGAGCAUAAUCACAUGGUUUGUGAAUGAAUCCAUGAUUGUCUUCACCUUAGUUUCAAGUUAAAUAUUUUCUUUAACCUAUUUACUAUUAUCCUUGACCACCUAAGAAACAAUGUCCGCCAAAAAGUCUCGUACAUUUUGUGUCGUAUAUAUGAUUUGAUUAGUAUGAUUCUCAUGCCAUUAAACACAUGGGAGAUUAAUUCUAUUCAUCAUAUUUACGAAGUGCAUCAAGUCUAUAGCAUUUUGAGGGUGGUUUCUGAACGAAGUCCAUGAUUUUCUCCUGAUUGUAUCGCAUUAAUUAAUUCAAGUUUUCUUAAGCUAAAGUACAGUUACCCUUGACCGCUAAAGGAACAAUGGAGGUUACCAUGAAGUAAGUUGAUCAAUUGACCAAUACAGUUGACAUGCAGAGGGAGAGAUCGCCUCUCGGCCUGCAUGUGAAUACUAUAUUGGUCAAUUGACCAACCACUCUAAAAAAUAAUUAAGUAAGAACUCCAUGUUUAUACUUAAUUAUUUUAUUGAUAUAAAAUACUUAAUUUUAUUUGAGAGAUCUAGAUUCUAAACUGUUUCAAAAUGAACAAUUCAUUAAUCUAUAAAAAACGAGUUUUAUUUAUAUAGGACAGAUUGCAUUUAUGUAGCAGGGGAAUGACAUUGUAUACGACUAUACAAUUUCAACCAUUUAUGGUCCAGAUUUAAAAUGAAUUAGAAAGUUUUCAUUUCAAAUGAAUUAGAGAGUCUUCAUUUUAUGGUCCAGAUUUAAAAUGUGUUAGAAUGUGACAUCAUGCUGAUGGGAGAGGGAGAGAUGAUGAUAGAAAAUAUACAAAAAAUAGAGAUUCUCUAUAUUCUCUAUUUCAUUUGAAAUAGAGAGGAUUCUAGUCCUAUUUAUAUAAGAUUAUCUAAGUAGACGGAUUAAUUUGGAUUGACCAGGAUCGAAAACCUCUUUUCAGAAGUACUAUUCUUAAUUUUGCUGUGCACACAAAGAUUGACCUUCAUUUUGCUCUCUAAUGUGUAGGAAUCUUGUGACAUCUUCUAACUUUUGGUGAUUCAUAAUUGUCUAUUGGGGCAUGUUCGAAUCUAGGACCUCCUGCAGGAGGCCUAGUCCACCAACUGAGCUAGAGUAUCGGUGUCGAUCGUCCUCUUUUGUCACCUCAUCUACGUUAUUUUUUAUUUUGCAUUGUAAAUAUAGUUAUAUUAAUAAUUUGUCUGACAUAGAAUGUAAUUAGGUAUCCAUUGGAGAGAUGCAAUCAGCUAACUUGUCAAAAGACAACAAAUAUUAUAUCCCCCAUAAAAGGACCCGAAAUAAAUUACAGAGACAAGACGGAUCCGGUUAAUAUGAAGUUAACAUUAUAAUAAAUUGAUCAAUUGACCAAUACAGUACUGACACGCAGAGAGAGAUCACCUCCCGCUUGUGUAUCGACAUUGUAUAAUUAGUCAAUUGACCAAAGUUAACUUCAUGCUAACCACUGACCAAUCGUUUUCUUAGGAAACUGUUAUUUCUAUAAGGAAGAUUUGAUAUCAUUUGUUACAAUUAUUUUUUGCAUGGUUUUCAUGUCAUGAAUGUUCAUAAACUCAGGAGCGAACAUAUGCCUAUUGUCAAGAGGGAAAAUGGUGAAAAGAAAAACAGGACAAACGGAUUGCCUGCCUGAACACAAGGUUUUAUCCCAAAAAAGAAAAGAAAAAAGACUAAGCUCAAUCUUCUUUCAUAUAUAUCGCAAUACUUGGACAAAAAAUUUAAUUUGUUCCCACAAGAAUUCAAAUUGUAGAUGUAGAAUGUAGUCUAAUGUGGUCAUUGAUAUUAUAAUACAGAGAUGUAGAAUCAUAGAUUUAAAAAGUAUGGUGAUUCAAAAAGUAUGUUGGUUCACCAGCAUUCCUCGUUAUUCAUCGGUGGCAGUGUCUAAUACAAUACGAAGAAAUAACAUUAAAAGUGUUGCACAC